CCUACGUGUGGCAGCAGUGGGGGAUAUUGCACAAUGGAGGAGACUCUGAUGCAGCGACGCCGCGUGAGGGAAGACGGUCUUCGGAUUGUAAACCUCUUUCUUUGGGGGAGAAAAUGACGGUACCCAAAGAGGAAGCUCCGGCUAACUACGUUCCAGCACCCGCGGUAAUACGUAGGGAGCGAGCGUUGUCCGGAAUUACUGGGUGUAAAGUGAGCGUAGGCGGGCGUGAAAGUUGAAUGUUAAAUCUACCGGCUUAACUGUUAGCUGCGUUCAAAACUUCUUGUCUUGAGUGAAGUAGAGGUAUGCGGAAUUCGUAGUGUAGCGGUGAAAUGCGUAGAUAUUAGGAGGAACACCAGUGGCGAAGGCGGCCUGCUGGGCUUUAACUGACGCUGAGGCUCGAAAGCGUGGGGAGCAAACAGGAUUAGAGACCCUUGUAGUC
rnacentral:rRNA from 1 species